GACGAACCGUGCGAACGUUGUUCGGAUUCACUGGGCUUAAAGGGCGCGUAGCGGGUUCUCAAGUCGGGGGUGAAAUCCCACCGCUCAACGGUGGAAGUGCCCCCGAUACUGGGAGUCUGGAGGGAGGUAGGGGUGUGUGGAACUUCCGGUGGAGCGGUGAAAUGCGUAGAUAUUCGGAAGAACACCAGUGGCGAAGGCGACUCGCUGGACAAGUAUUGACGCUGAGGUGCGAAAGCGUGGGGAGCAAACAGGG
rnacentral:rRNA from 1 species